GAUGAACGCUGGCGGCGUGCCUAAUACAUGCAAGUCGAGCGAACGGACGAGAAGCUUGCUUCUCUGAUGUUAGCGGCGGACGGGUGAGUAACACGUGGAUAACCUACCUAUAAGACUGGGAUAACUUCGGGAAACCGGAGCUAAUACCGGAUAAUAUUUUGAACCGCAUGGUUCAAAAGUGAAAGACGGUCUUGCUGUCACUUAUAGAUGGAUCCGCGCUGCAUUAGCUAGUUGGUAAGGUAACGGCUUACCAAGGCAACGAUGCAUAGCCGACCUGAGAGGGUGAACGCCCACACUGGGACGGAGACACGGUCCAGACUCCUACGGACGGCAGAGGUAGGGAAUCUUCCGCAAUGGGCGAAAGCCUGACGGAGCAACGCCGCGUGGGUGAUGAAGGUCUUCGGAUCGUAAAACUCUGUUAUUAGGGAAGACCAUAUGUGUAAGUAACUGUGCACAUCUUGACGGUACCUAAUCAGAAAGCAACGGCUAACUACGUG
rnacentral:rRNA from 1 species